rnacentral:lncRNA from 1 species
ACCCUGUAAACAUAGUAGAUAAAACACAAAGGGAAUCUAACUCAUCUGACUCAUAGAUCGGUUUUAAAGAUCUGAUGAAAAAAAAAAAAAAAAAAAACCUGUUCCAAGGAGUCUAGGCCAGGUUUUCAAUUCAGGAACGAGGUUAGGCUGCCACCUAGGUACGCUCAGCUCCUCGCCUAGCUCCUGGCACGGAACAUCUCAAACAAGUGACCACUCUACACUCUGGAGGACUCAGCGAGGACAGCCUCUCCUGAGGCCCCUUUACCAGCACGUGACCGGAAGUCUGGCUUGCUAUUGGCUAGAGCCGGUAGAGCCCGCCCAACCGCCUCCUGUCAGUUCCUUUAAGUAGAAGCCAGAGGCCCCCGCUCGGCCUUUCGGGGACUGUGACGCCGGACCGGCCAGGUUCCGGCUGGGCCGAGGACGUCGGAGCUUCCUGCCCUCCUCCCCGCCCACCUUUACCCCGAAGCCUCGCAAUAAAAUGGUUUGAUCCAGCGCUGGUGUUAAGCGUCUUCGUCGUCCCGACGCGCUGCCUUUGAGCCCCCGCCGCGCCUGCGCGUGGCGCCGGGGGUCAGGCUGCAGCGCCAGAGCACGCGCUUGCGCAUAACUGGGGCCGCCCGGUUCCCCCGCCGGCGGCCCUUUUAACCGCGAGCGACACGGCGGCACCUGCAGGGGACGCGAGCGUGGGGCGGGGGCGAUUUGCGACUCCAGCCUCAGCCCUUGAAGCCGAGGCUGAAACGCCCCGGGCAGACGCGGCGAUCCUCUAGGC